rnacentral:rRNA from 1 species
AACGAACGCUGGCGGCAGGCUUAACACAUGCAAGUCGAGCGCCCCGCAAGGGGAGCGGCAGACGGGUGAGUAACGCGUGGGAACGUACCUUUUGGUUCGGAACAACUCCGGGAAACUGGAGCUAAUACCGGAUAAGCCCUAACGGGGAAAGAUUUAUCGCCGAAAGAUCGGCCCGCGUCUGAUUAGCUAGUUGGUGGGGUAACGGCUCACCAAGGCGACGAUCAGUAGCUGGUCUGAGAGGAUGAUCAGCCACACUGGGACUGAGACACGGCCCAGACUCCUACGGGAGGCAGCAGUGGGGAAUAUUGGACAAUGGGCGCAAGCCUGAUCCAGCCAUGCCGCGUGAGUGAUGAAGGCCUUAGGGUUGUAAAGCUCUUUUAUCCGGGAAGAUAAUGACUGUACCGGAAGAAUAAGCCCCGGCUAACUUCGUG